UCCCUACAUUCCGGAUAAUUGGCCGAAAGGCCUUGUAAUACGGGCGAGGGCCGUGAUGAGGCAUCUCAUUACGAAGGGAGGCGCUGGAGCAAUCCGGUGUCGUGCAGGGAGGGGUUCGCGGAUUAUCAGCUAGUUGGUGGGGUAACGGCCUACCAAGGCGACGACGAUUAGCUGGUCUGAGAGGAUGGUCAGCCACAUUGGAACUGAGAUACUGUCCAG
rnacentral:rRNA from 1 species